UACAGAGGUCUCAAGCGUUGUUCGGAUUUACUGGGCGUAAAGGGCGCGUAGGCGGCCACCGCAAGUCGAUUGUGAAAUCUCCGGGCUUAACCCGGAAAGGUCAACCGAUACUGCGGGGCUAGAGUGCAGAAGGGGGCAACUGGAAUUCUCGGUGUAGCGGUGAAAUGCGUAGAUAUCGAGAGGAACACCUGCGGCGAAGGCGGGUGCUGGGCUGACACUGACGCUGAAGUGCGGAAAGCUAGGGGAGCGAACGGG
rnacentral:rRNA from 1 species